CCUCUUUUCACAUAUGUGAACUACUGUACACUGUAAAUAACUACGCAUCUGUCUCUGCUGGAGUCUAUAGACUGCAUGGAGAAUGACAAUGAAUCUGUAUAAGAAGAUUACAUCUUUGUUUAAAAUAUUGAUUUUGGUAUAAAAUCACCAUGCUGACCUAUUUUUUAUUACAAAAUACAACAUUUCUUAUAUCAGUGGGCAACCUAGGAAAUACUCCACUUUGUAAGAGUUACAACAACUUCAGCAAUGGCUUUAGUGAACAGUAUUUUGGGUAAAUAGUGCCCCCUAGUGUGUAUAAAGAGCUCUUGCAUGACACGGACCUUACUGUACAAUAAUAAUCUGCCUUAAAACAAUGACAAAAGGUAAGACAAUAAACAGUUACAGUGAUGACACUUUCUCAACAUGCGCUUAGUAAAGUUUUCUCUCUAUCAAGAUAAAGAAAUGUGUAAAAACAUUGGGGUGAUUUUUGGACCAGUAUUUUCCCUAUGUUGUCUAAAGCAAAGGCUUUAUUUUAAAAAAUGUAUGAUUUUUCAAAACUGGUAGGCAUAAUGAACAUGAAAUUAUUUAACUGAAGACUGUUUUUUCCUUAUUGGCUGAUCAACAUAUUUUAUAAUAACAAUAUUAAACAAAUUUAAACAUAUUAUUUGUACAGCUGAAAUAAUUAAUAAUGCAAAAAAUUCUUCUGUAACAUGACAAGUAUGAAAUCAAUAAUAUAUUAUUCUUCCACUAACGUUCGACAAGCAGAAAGCGACCAAAUAAUUUGUCAUAUGCAUAUUCUAUUAUUCGAUAUUUAGUUAGUUAUUGUGUUUGCAAUAUCCCUCACAGCACAUUUAUAACAUUUAGGCCUCUUUUACUAAAUCUGAUACUAAGGCCAAAUUUUUCUCAAUAUAUUUUUAUUAAUAGCACAAUAAUAUCUUUGGCACUUAAAAAUGUUUUAUACCAAAUCAUGGAGGACAUAUUUGUGAGUUAAGACUGAAAAAUGUUAGUGCCAAUCUUCCUUACUCUAAGAUCAAGCAGUGCUUCAGAUCUUUUUAAACACGAUGGAAUGAUAUAACAGAUGGUUUCAUUUAAACCUGGGCUCCCUUCUUUUGUUCUCUUUUAUGAGAGGUUGCGACAGUGUCCAGCGAUGCGCAUUAAAUGGUCGCCUGUACCAUGUGACCUCAUCCAAUGUUUGUAAACACGCGUCAAGCACAUGUGAUCCCGAAGUGUUUAGGAACGUGUAACGCGCUGCAGCCAAUCAGACGCCGGGGGAGUGUCUGGGGGGGCACGGCUUCAGCUUUUCGCCCUGGAAAAAUCGAUAGGGAUCCUGUAAUGAUGCGAGGAGACUAUGUCUCAAGAAAGGAAACUGAGGAGUUGGGUCGAACUGAAACAAGUGAAGAGUGCAGGCAUCCAUGGCAUGCAGAUCACUUAGAAAAAGAUUCCACUGGAAGUCAGUCGUUUCAAUGUAUCCAUAUUUUAAGCCUCAAUAAAGAUGCCUUUCCCUUUAAGAGCUGGAUCAGCAUUACACAAGCGGACAGGUGCGCAGAUGCAGCAAACCAAGAAUAAACUGAUGUACUUGAGUGAAAAAGAAACUUGUAAACAAAUGCUCUCUCUCCCUCCCUCUAGGUCACUCCCUAUACUUUUCUAUUGUACUUAUUCUAUUAGGUCUGCAGUAGUUCAAACAUAAAACCUCGACUCUCAGGUAUAUGCAGUAUUGGCAAGGUGCACAAAAACUCACAGCUUACUUUCAAGAAAAAAAGAUUUAACAUAUUAUAUUAAACAUGCAUGGUUUAGAACAAACUAUUUUCUUCAAAAUGACAUCUAAAAGCUCCAUUGUGUACUAUAGCAUCUUUAGCAUUAGGCUAUUUUGUUUUGCAGUGUCAUCCCCUCCUAUGCCGCUCCUGGAAGCUGACUUCAAAUGGUGCCAUAGAGUACUUUAUGGCAUCUAGCACCAUUUGAAAUCAGUGUUCUUGGGUCGGUCCUGACAUCACCUAAAUGCUGUGGACUACUGAAAUUCUACUGCAACGUUUCUGAUAUAUGUCUGAUUUGCACAAGCUUAAUUAAUUAAAUAAAAAUAAUUUAUUCUUAGCAAGUGUUACAAGUCCCUGUUAUUCCUUUACAAUACAUGUAGCAGGCAAUACUGUAUGUCAUGGGAUCUUUUUUCAUUGUCAUUGUGUUCUAAGCACCUGCAGUGGUAAUACAGUCUUUAUUGUUUUAAAAUACCAUUUAUAAAAUAUCAACAAUCUGUAAUAAAAAUGACACAGAUAAGAUGA